CUGACGCCCUCUUACCCUCCCUCUCUCUCUCACCCUCGUUUUCUCUCUCUCUCCAAGCUCUCUCCACUACACCACCAAUACUUUUUUCCCUGGCUGCGGUGUGUUUGUGCUUUAGCGAGUGUAUGGCGAAACCGGUUCUGUGCUGAUCCAGCUUGUGCGAUCCCAUGCACAGAGCCAGGAGCAGCGUACCUCUUGCCAACAUCCUGCCUCCACUCUGCUGCCUUUUCUGCUUUGAUUUCACACUGUCUGCUUUUCCACCAGACCUUUUCUUUCUUUAACCCUCUGCUCUCUUCCAAGAAUGAUCUAGGAAGAGGGGAAAGAAAUAAGAGAAAGGUGUCUGCGUGAAGGGGAGAUGAGGAGGCAGAAAAGGAGAGAGAGAGGGGAGAGGACUAGAGAAGACUGGAGUUAGGCUGCAACACGAGAGGCAAAGCAACGAGGAGAGGGAGAAAGAAGAGAGCAACAGGGAUCGAGGGAUGAUCGAGGUGGAAUCGGGCCGAAUACGCAGGAAAAGGAGGGAAAAAUUGCCAGACUCAUCCGACCUCUGCUGUGUGAGGACCGGACCCAUCACCUGACUGCCCUCUCCUGUCUUCCUGGUCCUCAGCAGAACAGCCAUGAGACAGCUGUCUUACUGCCUCUAGAGAAAAGCUCUACUAUCCCAUCUGCUUUAUGGAGAACCAGGUCUCUUCACCUCCCUGUUUCUGGCAUGACUCAUGACUCAUUGUGCUGUGGUGACUACAGUUUGCUUGUAAGACUCCUGUAUUCUAUUGUUUUAACAUAGUUGUAUAUAGUCCAUGUACAACAACUAGACUCCUGUAUUCUAUGGUUUUAACAUAGCUGUAUAUAGUCCAUGUACAACAACUAGACUCCUGUAUUCUAUGGUUUUAACAUAGUUGUAUAUAGUCCAUGUACAACAACUAGAUUCCUGUAUUCUAUGGUUUUAACAUAGCUGUAUAUAGUCCAUGUACAACAACUAGACUCCUGUAUUCUAUGGUUUUAACAUAGUUGUAUAUAGUCCAUGUACAACAACUAGACUCCUGUAUUCUAUGGUUUUAACAUAGUUGUAUAUAGUCCAUGUACAACAACUAGAUUCCUGUAUUCUAUGGUUUUAACAUAGCUGUAUAUAGUCCAUGUACAACAACUAGACUCCUGUAUUCUAUGGUUUUAACAUAGUUGUAUAUAGUCCAUGUACAACAACUAGACUCCUGUAUUCUAUGGUUUUAACAUAGCUGUAUAUAGUCCAUGUACAACAACUAGACUCAUGUAUUCUAUGGUUUUAACAUAGUUGUAUAUAGUCCAUGUACAACAACUAGACUCCUGUAUUCUAUGGUUUUAACAUAGUUGUAUAUAGUCCAUGUACAACAACUAGACUCCUGUAUUCUAUGGUUUUAACAUAGUUGUAUAUAGUCCAUGUACAACAACUAGACUCCUGUAUUCUAUGGUUUUAACAUAGCUGUAUAUAGUCCAUGUACAACAAAGCCAUGACUAGCGCUAUGACUAUUUUCUUCUCAA